CUCAACCUGGGAAUGGCAUCCGGAACUGUUUGGCUAGAGUGCAGGAGAGGAAGGUAGAAUUCCCGGUGUAGCGGUGAAAUGCGUAGAGAUCGGGAGGAAUACCAGUGGCGAAGGCGGCCUUCUGGACUGACACUGACGCUGAGGUGCGAAAGCGUGGGUAGCAAACAGGAUUAGAUACCCUGGUAGUCCACGCUGUAAACGAUGUCGACUAGCCGUUGGGUCCCUUGGGGACUUUGUGGCGCAGUUAACGCGAUAAGUCGACCGCCUGGGGAGUACGGCCGCAAGGUUAAAACUCAAAUGAAUUGACGGGGGCCCGCACAAGCGGUGGAGCAUGUGGUUUAAUUCGAUGCAACGCGAAGAACCUUACCUACCCUUGACAUCCUCGGAAUCCGCCAGAGAUGGUGGAGUGCCUUCGGGAACCG
rnacentral:rRNA from 1 species